GUGGGGAAUAUUCCGCAAUGCACGAAAGUCUGACGGAGCAACGCCGCGUGAGUGAUGAAGGUUUUCGGACUGUAAAGCUCUGUUGUUUGGGACGAAAGUGCCUGUUGCGAACAGUUACGGGUAUUGACGGUACUAAACGAGGAAGCCACGGCUAACUACGUGCCAGCAGCCGCGGUAAUACGUAGGUGGCAAGCGUUGUCCGGAAUUAUUGGGCGUAAAGAGCAUGUAGGCGGGAAUCUAAGUCUGUUGUUAAAAUGCGGGGCUCAACCCCGUAUUGCGAUGGAAACUGGGUUUCUUGAGUGCAGGAGAGGAAAGGGGAAUUCCCAGUGUAGCGGUGAAAUGCGUAGAUAUUGGGAGGAACACCAGUGGCGAAGGCGCCUUUCUGGACUGUGUCUGACGCUGAGAUGCGAAAGCCAGGGUAGCGAACGGGAUUAGAAACCCCGGUAGUCC
rnacentral:rRNA from 1 species